rnacentral:other from 1 species
CCUAUUCUACGGUGUUGGUGACUGCCAAUAAUGUUUUUUGAUCUAUGUUUUGUUCCUAAGGGAACCUGAAAUUGUGCGAUCGCGGUAAACCAGGCUCGCACCUGGAAACUUAAGAUUGUCAAGAAGGUGCCCACCUGGUUUUUCCAGGUCUAAAACUGAGGCAGAACGGCACAGCGGAAUAGAC